rnacentral:rRNA from 1 species
UACGAAGGGGGCUAGCGUUGUUCGGAAUUACUGGGCGUAAAGGGCGCGUAGGCGGCCCGCUAAGUCGAACAUGAAAUCCCUGGGCUCAACCCAGGAACUGCGUCCGAUACUGGCGGGCUUGAAUCCGGGAGAGGGAUGUGGAAUUCCAGGUGUAGCGGUGAAAUGCGUAGAUAUCUGGAGGAACACCGGUGGCGAAGGCGGCAUCCUGGACCGGUAUUGACGCUGAUGCGCGAAAGCCAGGGGAGCAAACGGG